UUCUGUGGUUCCCCCUCUCUCUGCCCCUCCCCCACUCGCACUCUGUCUCUCUGUAUCUCUCAAAAAUAAAUAAACUUUAAAAAAAUUAUUUAAAAACAAGGAAAGUAAAUUGCAUACACCAUGCUCCUUUAUCCCUUAAUACUUGAAUGUCCUAAGAAUAAGUACAUUCUUUUACAUACACCAUAUAUACAGUUGUCAAUUCCAGGAGACUUAACAUUGAUACAAUACUUUAAUCUACCAUUCAUAUUCCUAGUUUUGUCACUUAAUCCAAUAACAUCAUUCUUACCAUUUUCCCCCUUCCCAUAUAGGAUCCAGUUUAAGAUCAUACAUCGCCUGUCUCUGUAAUCUCCUUCAAUCUGCACCCAUUCCCUAGCUUUUCUCGGUCUUUGAUAUUUUUGAAGAGUACAGCCUGUCCCCUGUGUUUGGGCAAUAGAAUGUUCCUCAUUUUACAAUGGUUAUUUUUAUAGUUUGCCUCACAUUUAUUCAUUACUAGAUCCCGGUUAUCCAUUCCUGGCCAGAAUACUACAUAAUUGAUAUUGUGUCCUUCCCAGGAUAUGAAACCCAAAGUCAGCUGAUGUCACUGUCCCUCACUGGGCGAUAAUAAUUUUGGUAGUUGAGGUGUCUGAUUCCCCCACGGGAUACUUACUAUUUUGUUCCUAGUAAUAAGCAAUCUGUGGGGAGAAUCUUAGACCAUGCAAAUAUCCUGCUUCUUGUUAAACAGAUUCCCCUAGAUUUAACGUCUAUUGAUGAUUCUUGUUCGUAGCAAUCCUCCCUUAUCUCUCAUUAAUUAAUUAAUUUAGCUGUCUAUUAAUGCUACAUAGGUGCAUGGAUUACUAUGGUUUUCAAUAAUUUAUAAUUCCUUAUGUACUUCAUUUGGGUGCUAAAAUUUUCCAGAUCUAGUCAAUGGGUACCUUUUCAAACUGUGUUUUUUUUUAGCAUGUCUGAAUGUGAGAUGUUCUGGAUUAGUCUUGAUCCUUGCAGAUUCACCAUUCCUGGGAGGCUUGGAUUUCUCCACUGGAUGCCUUGUAUCUGGCCGGGGGGGGGAAAACGGGGGCGGGGGGAGGGGAGAAAAUAUGGAUUAUUUGUGUGGGAAGUUUUUAUAGGCCACGCCUGCAGGUAGCAAACACAUAGAUCUACUCUGCCCACGUUACAUUGGUGGGAACUCAGGAACGUGGAUGCUGCUAGAGAGAUUAGGAGAUGACAAAAAUCUCUCUGUGUGGCCGAGAGGAAAAGAGACAUGACUCAGAAAAAUUAGGCCAGUCUCUGUCACACUUGUCCAAAAGCCAUUCCCUAUGUUAAAUCUUCCAUAUUAAUAGAAUUCCAGUUUUAUACAGAUAGAAGGAAGAUCCUUUGAUUUCAAGAAAGGUGGCUUCCUUUCACCAAAUCAGGAGAUAAAUCACAGUGGACCAAACCAGUCCUGGUAAUUCCAUUUCUCUUUACCAAUGACUAAUCUAGGGGUGGGUAUAGGACUCAGUUCUGGUCAACAAAAUAGGAAGGGAAGCCUACUGGGAGGCUCCUAGGAAAGUUUUUCUUUUUGUAUAAAAAGACAGGAACUUCACAGAAGAAAUUCUUUUGCUCCUGCCUCUCUUUUGCUGAGACAAAGGAACAAAGACACCAGGCCUGGAGCUGCCAUGGCCAUCUUGUGACCAUAAAUGUGAUAGCAAAGAAAGAUGGACACAGUCAGCAUGCUGAGGACAGACAGCAAAGGAGACAGAUAGAAAGAACGGGUCCUUGAUGACCUAGGAGGCACGAGCUCUUAAGUAUGACAGGUACUCCUUGGAAAGAAGUUAUUGGUAUUUACUAGGCUGCCUGAGAGCCAUGGGGUUAGAAACUAAAACCAGAGAAGAUGAGUGUCGUGUACAAAGCUGAGAAGUCAAGUACCCACCUGUGUUAGCAAUCCGCCUAGGAUAAUCAGGUCAUGAUCUCACAGUUCAUGGGAUGGAGCCACAGCACAGAGCCUGCCUGGAAUUCUCUCCCUCUUUCUCCCUGUACCUCCCCUGCUCUUCCCUGCCCACAGUGCAUGCUCUCUCUCUCUCUCUCAAAAUAAAAAAAAAAAAAAAGAACCUGCUAUGUGUUCUAGACAUUAUGGAUGCAACAGUGAACAAAAGAAACAAACAAAAAACCACUCCUGGAGUUUACAUUCUAGUACAGUACACAGUGACCUCAAUAAGAUCUCAACAUUUGUUAGAGUGUUAGAAAGUGGUAAGGGCUCUAUGGAGAAAAAACGAGGAAGGGAGAGAGGGAGUGGCUGACCAGGUGGUUGCAAUUUUAAACAGAAUGACCAAGAAUAGUCUCGCUGAGCAAGACCGUGAAUGAGGUAAGGGAACCAUCUGGAUGGUAUCUGGAUGUAAAACACUGUAAGGAGAGGAAAUGAGUGAGGUGAGCGCUUACCUGGUACACUGGAGGGACCGCAAGGAGGUCAGCAGGCUUGGAGCAGGGUAAGCAAAGGGUGAGAGAGUCCUAGGAGAGGAGAGAAGGUGGCAGGUCAUGUGGACCAGGGAGACCCCUGUAAGAACUUCCAUUUCUAUUCUCAGUGAACUGGAAAGACAUUUGAGGAUUUGAACAGCGAAGUGACACGGGAUGACUUAUAUCAGGCCUGCUGUGGGUACGAGACCGUGUAUCUGCAGGGGAAGAGGCAGAUGUGGGAAGCAAGGAGAACGUUGAAGAGGCUCUUGCAAUAACUCAGACAUGAAACAAAGUCUGCUUGGACAAAGAUGGUAGGGGUGAAGAUGAGGAAAAGAAAGAUUUGGGAUAUGUUUCAAGGCAGAGUCCACAGGAUUUACCGUUGGUAAAUCCUGUUGGUAGUGUGGGUGGGAGGGAAAGCAAAGAGAAAGGGAAAAUAGGAAACCAAGCCCACUAAAGAAACAAUAGGAUUGCUCAGUAGAAUGGAAGUCCAUUUUGAUGUAUGAUGUCAUGAAUUUAAAAUGAAACCAGCCAGCCUGGUUGAGGGCUUGCUUCAACAAAAUCUAGCUGCUCUAGUGCAGAUAAAGAGCAGAUAGUAUAAUUUAUUCAGAAUUGGAGUUUUUCAAGGCAAGUCUGCCUGAGUGGGAGAGAGAUAAAGGGAGUUGUAUCGAUGGACCAUGGGAUACAGUCAGGUCAAGGUGGGGUGUGAAGCUGAGAGCGGGCUGGCGUUGACAAUGGAGGUACUUGAGCAAAUAACGUGGGCGAAAAGCAGGUUUAAAAUCGAGAUUUCAGAUGUAGUACAAUUUCUGGUUAAUGACAGGGUGGUGAGGAAGAAGGGAAUAAGGUCUUUGGAGAUGAGGAGGUCAAAGAGCUUGAGAGGCUGGAAUGUUGAAGUCAUCCAGAGUGAAGACAUACUUGUGAAGGAGAAAGUGAACACGUGGGAAUUUGGGGAGACUGGUGUGCUCAGAGAGCAUGGGCACUCCCUGCCUUUCCCUCAUACCUUGCCCUAAACAUCUCUCCCAUCUAAGUUAUAGUCUUUUGUAACAAACCAGUGAUCUGGUAAGUAAAAUGUUUUUCUGAGUUCUGCAAGCUGCUCCAGCAAAUUAUCCAAAUCCAAGGAGGAGUCGUCGGAACCUCCGAUUGACACCAGUGGCCAGAAGCACAGGUGACAACCUGGGCUUGCAAUUGGUGUCUGAGAGGGAGGAGAGCAGUCUUGUAGUCGAACCCUUAACCUGUGGGAUUGGAGGCUAUUUUCACGUGGAGAGGGUCAGAAUUGAGUUGAAUUACAGGACACCCAGCAGGUAUCGGAGAAUUGUUGGUUGGUGGAGGAUGGCGCACCCCUCCUCCCCAUUUUAGGAAUUGGGUGCUCAGAACCUUUUAGCAGGUUUUCCUCAAACCUUCUAUCCCUGACUCCCUAUGUACAGGAGUCUAGUCCCUCCCUGAUGCUUUGUUUCUAUGGAGCCUGGUUAGUAGGGUAAGUGAGCUUCCCCCAAUGUUCUUUGUUGCCCAAAAGCACACUUUAUAGUAAGCACAUUAAGAAUGGGACUAUAGCACUGGGAACAAACUUUUCAUUCUCCAUUCCCCCAAAUUAUUGAAAAUUGAUGGGAAGAUUCAGAAUUGGUAAAAUAGCCAUAAUACAAUUGUGUCGUAAAUAUGUGAAUAUUAAAAUCAAUAUAAGUCAAAUAAGAUCAAUAUAAAUCAAAUAAGUGAAUAUUAUAAGGGAAAGACGAACCCAAGCCUAGCCAGAAGUUUUGUGUGAUUGAAAGAUGAUUCAGCGAGCCAUCUGGCCAGGAAAAGAACCAAGCCCAAGAUUCUGGGAGCUUUCUGUGAUCCAGUGGGUUAAGGAUGUGUUCAAAGUAGACAAAUCACCCAGGAAUGAGAUGGUCAAGGUGGAAGGGCAUAGUUAAAUGAAAGCACUGUGAUCAAAAUAAAGACAAGCUUGGGAUGCAUUGGUGGCUCAAUUCCUGAGUCAGGGGUAUCCCUACUUGGGAUCCUCUCUUCCUCUCUGUCUACCCUUCCUCCGCUCGUCAUUCUCAUUCUCUCUCUCUCUCUCUCUCUCUCUCUCAAAACAAACUUUAAAAAUAAAAUGUUAAAAAAAUAAAGAUAAGCUUAACCAUUCUGAGAAUUUCCACAGGGAGUUGUAAAUUUAGAAGAUUAUAAUGGCAAGCAGAAUUAUUCUGUAUCAAUGUAGUGGGGUGUUCCAUGGAGGAGGAAGUGGGAAGCACCAUGAACUCAAGACAAAACAGCCUGUUGUGGUAGUGAUUGGGGAGGGUAAAGGGUGGAAGGCAGGUAACAAACUGACAGCAAUUCACUCGUCCACAAAAUGGACCCCCAGAUGGAAUUUCUCCUGCUUAAGGACCACUCCAAGAAUACAGAGAACCAGUCUCCCUGGGAAUUGUCUUGACAUGGAGAACCCAAGUCCAGAUCCCUUUACUUGAAUAAGCAGACUCACUUAUCUCCCAUUUCCAACCACAAAGGGGAGUCUGUAUCAGGAGUGAGAGAUGGUCCCUCAAAGCCAGCCAGGCAGAUUUUUUUUUCUCCAAAGGGACUUAAGCUAGCGUCGGUUUCCUUGUGGAAAAGUACGUGUUUUCCCACAGAUCAUGAAACAGCUAAUUGAUCUCUAGGGAACUUCCUUUCUCCCGGUAUCUUCAAGCCCAACUGUAAGAUCUCAGAUCUGUGGGGUCAUCCUUAGAUUCUAAAAAUAAAUUGGCUACUUCUAGGUAUAUGCAAUGCAGCACUUUUAUAUGAGACUAUGGAGAUACUGAAUGAAUAAGGCAACUGCCAAUCUCUAUUGUAAGCCGGACAAAUUUACUUGAGAAUAGUAUGGAAUUUCCCCGUUAUUAAAACACAAACAUGCCAUCAACAUCUAAAUUCCUCAAAGCCAUUUGCUUCUACUCCCCCAUCUGAAUUCAUAUAGAUUCCAUUUCAAGGAAUGUGUGCGAUACAUCACACACCAAGAAUGGACUGGCUCCCUUGUUGCUAGAAGAUAGUGCCAAUCUGGGGGCCCUGAUACUGAAGACUACCUUAUCUCUCCCAGUCACCUUUGGGGAGCAGAGAAGUGAGGCAGCUAGAGGCUCCUGGAGGAACUCAAGCCAAGCCUUACCCACACAGCUGUAGUAAAUAUUUACGGACUUAACACAAGAUGAUUUGCCACGUGUUUACAUGUACCUGAAUGUACAUGUUUACAUUCAUUUGAACUUAAGGAAUCUUCAAGGUAUUCUAAUACCCUCCUCCUCUGCAGAAAGGAUAGUAAGGAAACCUUUCCAGUGGGCAACUGAGCACAAUUUACAUUAAGAACUUAAAAUUGUAACCCCACUGCCAGUAAUUUUUUUUCUUUUAAAUUUUUUUUUAAAUGUUUUUGUUUUUGAGACAGAGACAGAUCGCAAGCGGGGGAGGA